AGGAGAAUCGAACGUCGUGAUGGUUCAACCUCCUCCUUCCCACCUCCUUCGAGAGAUCCCGCACAGAAAAAAUCGCUAGGAGAAUCCACGUUGACAACCAACCACCUCGCACCCCCUUACGAUUCCCAAUUUUCUUGUAUAGUAAAAAGAAAAGGAAAAACAAAAAGCACCCACGAGGCCACGACCACGACACACGUACCCACGCCCCGAACUCUCGUCACCACCCAAACUACCCAUCGCUCCUCCCACCCCAUCUCUCGCGAGAAAUAUCCCCUACCGUCAUCCAGAUCGGAGAUCACAUCGGUCCUCCUCCACCAUGCGCCCGCCUCCCCCCACGGUCGUGGCCCGACUCAUCCUUCUCUUCGCUCACCGCGCCGGCGUAGGCGCUCACGCCUUCUUAGCGCUCAAGCGCCGCCCAUGGAUAGACGAUGGCUUCAGCCGCGUCAACGAGGUCGAGGAGUCCCUGACCCAGCCCUUUCCCUCACCUUCAUCGGAUGCCUCACCCGUCUCCAUGGGGUCGGGUACUCUUUCCCUCCCCUACCCUGCCCUCCCCUAGCGGUGGCUGACACACUCUUCUUGUCUAUCUCCCGGGGAUGCCCUGUCCUCCCAUGGCGUGCUGGGGACCGAUGACCGUGGGGAAUUUGAACUGGUGGCGCCGGUCGAACGUCGAGAGGUUGGCACAGCCCCGCCACACACUUGUCCCCCCUCAUUAGGAUCCUCAAUUUCUCAUCUAAAAGGUUUAUGUGGAUGGAACUACCACCAUAUCUACCCAGCGUUUUGGUUUGGUCUUGUGAUGCUGACGCACAUUGUCUUUCAUGUUCCUACUAUUUGCCUUUUAGUUUUGACUUGUGAUCCCGACGGACAUUUUCUUUCUACAACUGUGAUAUUUCCCUCCUUCAUUGAUGAAUGCAACUGCAUGAAUGGGACGGCGAAGCCGCUGUCAUGAAAAUUGCAGAAUGAUGACAUAGAUACGAAGGCAUGAAAUAAAAGGCAAAUGUGAAGCUCUUGCAUCAAUCCUCAGACUGAUUCCUGCAAAAUUUCCCGCAUAACUACAACAUGGUAGUCUUGAAAGAUUGGCUACUUAAUAGUAUGGAGAGGACAAGAUCGAAAAGGAUGGUGAUAUAAGGAAAGCGGGGAGUGGUAGAGGAAGAAAUUUGGGACGACAAUUAUAAAUAGAAUAUCGAGUUGGAUGAUGAUGAUGAUGAUUGGAACCAAGAGGAGGAACCAAGUAAGUUUCAUUUGAUUUUCUGUUCAUAUGGCGGCUACUGUGUCCAGAUAUGUAAAGUCUGGAUUUGUUUACUUACUUUCUUGUAUGUUCUAUACUUACAGUUUUUCAGUACUUGCUUCUUGUUGCCUCUCAGUGUAUCAUUAAAUAAUUAGUUGACCAGUGUUGACAAUGGUGCAUCGAUCCUAUUUA